rnacentral:rRNA from 1 species
GGGUUAGUAGGUUGGUCAUGCCUCUGGUAUGCACUGGUCUCACUGAUUCCUCCUUCCUGAUGAGCCGUAAUGCCAUUAAUUUGGUGUUGCGGGGAAUUGGACUGUUACUUUGAAAAAAUUAGAGUGUUUAAAGCAGACUAUCGUCUGAAUACAUUAGCAUGGAAUAAUGAAAUAGGACGGACUGAUUCUAUUUCGUUGGUUUCUAGGAUCACCGUA